CCAACUGCGCAGGCACGGAUUGGCAAGUGGGAGCGAAGUGCCGUUCGUGGGAAAAUUAAAGUUUUUAAAAGGAAAUACUUAGUAAAAUCGAAAGAAACUUGCUACUGCACACCCCAGUGGAAUGGUGAGUAAGGUUUUCCUAAAAAGAAAAAGGCAGCAUGUGCAAGAUUAAAGGGCCUGUCCCACUAACAUGA